GCAUCCCUAUUAGAAGCUCUGCUUCUGACUCAGGGAAUCUUACAAACCUGACUUCAUUUAUUUAAGCAUCUGCUCUGGGAAAAGCACAACGCCGGGCAGUGAAAGUAACAAACUACAAAACUUUGAGUAGAAAAAGGAAAAAGACGUGUAGAAAAACAAAUUAUACUUUGCAAUUUUGCAAAGAACUAAGUGUGGGUAAGUACUCCUGGCCUUGGAGGAGGGCUAGAACCACAGUCCUUUUGUUUGGGCCACUUGUUUUUCUUUUUUAAAAUUGAUUCAAUAUCUUACAAUUAGGAGAUUACACACACACACUCAAAUUUUUAUAUUUCUAUAUUCUCUUGAAAAAAAUCAGAAAGUCUGGGCUAGUGUUACCAGAGGGCCUCAAUCCCCCAGGUCUGAAGACUGAUCCUUAGAUGGCCUUGAGCUCUCCGAUUCAAGACACUCUCCCCAGUCCCUAGGGAGUAAACGACGGGUCCCGUUCCAAGCAUGGCUCCUCCUAAUUACCCACCCUGCCUGGACAAGGAGACAUUUGCAUCUCUGUCUUUGACUUCUUCACGGAAGUUGUCCUAGAGCCUCUACUAAAACGGUGUGACUAUGAGUAAAUCAUUUAUCCUCUCUGUCUUCUGUUUCCUCAUCUCUAAAACAGGGAUGAUAAUAGUACACCUACCUCAUAGUGUUGAAGCGAAGAUCACACAACCCUGAAAAAGUGCUAUACGUGUCCAGGUAUAUGAAUGGCUUCCAGGAAUACCAGCAUUGUCUGCCAUGCUGACUCAACCAAUGGUAACACGAAGUGUAGGGUUUGGAAUUUAUGGACCGAAGCUAGCCUGCAGAAAUCUCUUUCAAUUAUCAGGCACACAAAGCAAAAUUGCCCGGCAUGAUCAAUGACUCUUCAAAUAUAAAGCGGUAUUGUUUAUCAUCUCAACAGAGACUGCACACCGCUGCAGUGAAUCUGAUGGUUCUUUGCGGGUGAUGCUGUGAGGUUAAAAUGCCCAAGACUUAACGAAGCAAGUGGCAUCAUUGUACUAGUAUGGGAAGUCUGAACAGAGAUAUUUUCUUUCUAGGGUAAUUCUAACAACUCAUACUUCAAUGUCAGAGUACUAAUGAAACACCAGACAAUUUUAAAAUAAAAUGAAAAGAGAGGAAACAACUUUAGAGGUCAACCUUUAGCUUACAAGAAACUUAGGUCCAUGUAGACGUUUAUAAAGGUUUGUAAAAGUUUUUCCAAACAAAGCUGAACAUUCAGCACAUACGCUACCUUACUGAGCAUUUGUCUUCUAUCUAGUUGAGAUCUUAAGUACAAUUACUCUCAGUUUCCCCAGGCAAAUCACUUACCUUAGUUCCAGACUGUUCGGUGGCCACAGGCUGGGUAUAGGUGAGACA